rnacentral:rRNA from 1 species
UCUGACCUCAAAUCAGGUAGGACUACCCGCUGAACUUAAGCAUAUCAAUAAGCGGAGGAAAAGAAACUAACAAGGAUUCCCCUAGUAACUGCGAGUGAAGCGGGAAGAGCUCAAAUUUGAAAUCUGGCAGUCUUUUUUUUCUUCUUUGGCUGUCCGAGUUGUAAUCUAGAGAAGUGCUUACCUGCGCUGGACCGUGUAUAAGUCUCCUGGAAUGGAVCGUCCCAGAGGGUGAGAAUCCCGUCUUUGACAUGGACUGCCAGUGUGYUGUGGUGUGCUCUCAAAGAGUCGAGUUGUUUGGGAAUGCAGCUCUAAAUGGGUGGUAAACUCCAUCUAAAGCUAAAUAUUGGCGAGAGACCGAUAGUGAACAAGUACCGUGAGGGAAAGAUGAAAAGGACUUUGGAAAGAGAGUUAAACAGUAUGUGAAAUUGUUGAAAGGGAAACGCUUGAAGUCAGUUAUGUUGGCUAGGGAUCAACCUAGCUAUUUUU